rnacentral:misc_RNA from 1 species
GAGUUGAAGAUGGAGAAUAACCAGCAAUCAUUUUGGCAAUUCAGUGAUCAGUUGAGGGUACAUACUUCAAACUUUGCAAAUCUUUCACUCAACGACUCAAUAUGGAGCAAUUCUUAUGGGGCAAAGAGGCCAAAUGAGAGGAGGAAUUUUGAUACAAGAGUUGGAGGUGAAUUGAAUUCUGUUAUCAAUUCUAAGUCAAAAGAGUCUGAUUUGAACAAUGGUUUCAAUGAUGGGUGGAAGAUAGG